UAGUUGAUAUAUCAUAUAUAUUCGUUGAAUGCAUAAUACCAGCAAAGCAAAACAUUUCUCUAUUUAUUACAGCGGUUUAAUAAAUGUAUUUAUAUUAAGGACAUAAAGUUACAUCUAGAAAUGGAUAAGAGAAUAAUGCUUGUGUUCGCUGCAGUUGCCAUGAAUUUCGGUCAUUUAUUGGCAAGUCAAAACAUGAACUGCGCACAAGGGUACUGGGGCACAGAUUGCAAAAAUGCAUGUCCAGAAAGAUGCUCGUCCGUUGGAUGUGACAAAGCUGCUGGUUCUUGCUUUGGAUGUGACUCAGGAUAUCACGGUAAAUAUUGUGACAUUCCGUGUUCGGUUCAUUGCCGAUAUGCAUGUGAUCGUUUCACUACGAAGUGCUCAUCGUGUUACGCGGGGUGGUAUGGAGAUUCGUGCAAUAUACCAUGUCAUGGCAAUUGUGCAUCGUGUUCAAAAACUACAGGUGAGUGUUUGACAUGUAGAAAUGGCUGGUAUGGGACCAACUGUAGCAUACAGUGCUCCACAGAAGCAGGAUGCUACAAUGAUUAUUGUACAAAGUCUAACGGAGACUGUUCAAGGUGUAAAGUAGGCUGGUUUGGGUCAAAAUGUGAAAAUCAAUGUUCAAUCAACUGUUCUAGUGGCUGUCAUAAGACUUCCGGUUACUGCUAUUCUUGCAGCUCUGGAUAUUGGGGCUCCGACUGUUCAAAUCGUUGCCCCAACUGUCAUAAUGGCUGUAGUAAAGGUAAUGGCUAUUGUAGUCUUUGCAGGUCUGGAUUCUGGGGUUCAGACUGUUCAAAUAUAUGCCCGGAGAAUUGUGAAAGUUGUGAUCAAUCUAGUGGCACAUGCUUGUUUUGCCCCGAUGGUUUGUGGGGAAGUAACUGUUCGAAGUCGUGUAAAACUAACAAUUGUAAAAUGUGUGAUAUUAACACAGGCAUUUGUAAAACAUGUGAAUCAGGCUUUUGGGGACCAGACUGCGACAACCUAUGCAAUAAUUGUUCCAAUGAAAAGUGUGACAUUUCCACAGGUGUAUGUGAGACAUGUCCAGCGGGAUUUGCAGGAGAAAAUUGUGAUAUAAAAUGUGAGAUUUCUACUUGUUCAAAUUGGCUGUGUGACAGGAAGUACGGAUUUAAAUGUUCCAGUUGUGUAAACGGAUUUUGGGGAACACUUUGUGAGAAACAAUGCACGCUAAGUGGCAAAUGUAACUAUUGCAGCAAAACAACUGGAAUAUGUAAUUCAUGUUUAAGGGGAUAUUGGGGAACGUUUUGUGAGAACAAAUGCAGGGAAAAUUGAUGCGUGUAUAUACUGUGACAGAAACACUGGAAGAUGUAAUUCCUGUAUAAGCGGAUACUGGGGAAAACAGUGUGAACAUGGUUGCCCUAAAAACUGUUCUGAAAAUUGCUAUAAAAGUACAGGAUUAUGUUCGUCUUGCACAAAUGGAUUCUGGGGAGACUUAUGUGAGAGGAAAUGUCUGGCAGGAGACGGGUGUCUAUCAUGUAGCAAAGCAUACGGAUCUUGUAACGCGUGUUCUAUUGGUUACUGGGGUAGUUUGUGUGAUAAAGAGUGUCCUACAAUGUGUCUAGUAGGCUGCGACAGGUAUACAGGAAAGUGUUCCUACUGCAGACCCGGCCACAAGGGUGUAAAUUGUACUAGUACAUGCAAAGGGGAAAAUUGUGAGACAUGCAAAGGUUCGGACGAUGAUUAUUCAUGUACCAAAUGCCGGACGGGUUACUGGGGCGAAAGCUGUGACAAUCAGUGCAGAUCGGAGCGAUGCCUGGAAUGUCAUAUGACUGAAGGACGAUGUAUCUUAUGUGAGGAUGGCUUUUGGGGCGAUUCGUGUAAUCGAAAAUGUCAUGAGCGUUGUCAAGUGCUGCAACCUGACUUACGGUACUUGUAGAGCACCGUAUUCCUGUUUGAUGUACAAAGCAACAGUCAGAAUAAGCAAACGACAGUCGCAACUGCAUCCGAAGAUAGAAAUGUUGAACAUCAGAGUUUUUCAUAUACGGUGGAUCGUUUAUGAUUAGUGGAUCAUAAGAAAGGCCAAAGAUGGGAUACCAUUGCUUCAAACCGGAAAAGACAACCGCACAAAUAUUGCUCAGGAAACAAACAAAACAUUUGAAGAAGAAGAAAAUUAUGACAGCGUCCACGAGACAAACGUGAUCUACGAAAAUUCAUUGGUCUCUGAUAAGAAACAACUUUAAAAAAAAGUACCUCCAGAUAUAAAAAAAUGUAAACUAUGUAGUAACGACUAGAGUAAUGAGAUUUAUAUGUGUUUAUAUUAAACAAUACUGUUCUUUUUUCGAUUUACAAUCAAUGUACAACUAGCCAUAGUGUGAUUGCUUUUUCUUAUUUCGAAUGAAGCUCUGCAUUAAAAUUUUGUAGUUGACUUGACUGGUUUAGUUUGAUGAGAUUUUUAUUUCAUAAUAUAUUUUAAUGAAAGAUUACUUAAUUGUAUUUACAUGUCAGUCUGUCAUGCCUUACUUCUGUAAUGAAAUGUUCUUACGUUUCAUCUAUAUUUGAUUUAUAUGCCAUAAAUGCUCUAAGUUGGUUUAAGAAAUAUUAUAUUCUAUGCUUUUAUAUUCUAUUCUAUUCUACGACGUAUAAUAUUACAAAUGUUAAUUGUCUGAUCAAGAAUUAAUUGUAUUUUCAUAUCAGCCAGAGUUAUGCCUUACCUCUGUACUGAAAUAUACCUCCGUUGCAUUUACAUUUGAUUUAGAUGCCAUACAUGGCCCUUAACUGGUUUAAGAAAUAUCAUAUUCUAUGAUUUUUUAUUCUAUUCUAUUCUACGGUUCAUUAUAUUACAAUAAUUAUUGUUAAUUGUCUUAUCAAGAAUUAAUUGAAUAUUCAUAUCAGUCAGAGUCAUGCCUUACCUCUGUAAUGAAAUGUUCUUCCGCUGCAUUUAUAUUUGAUUUAUAUGCCAUAAAUGGCCCUUAAUUGGUUUAAUAAAUAUUAUAUUCUA
rnacentral:misc_RNA from 1 species